rnacentral:lncRNA from 1 species
GGUGUUCUCUCUGGCAGGUGUUCUGCAUGAGGAAGCACUGUCUUACUUUCAGUGUGGUAAUCCCAACAGGGAGAACUGUAGCAGAGAGCCUCCAUGCCUCUGUGCACCUGUGAGAGUGGCUACGAGACCAGCAGACUGAAAACAACAGACACAGGAAGGGUCUCAUGUAUCCCAUGCUGGCUUUGAACUCACUUUGUAGCCAGGGACUGCCUUAAAUUCCUGAUCAUCCCCCCUUACCUGUCAAGUGCUGGGAUUCCAGGCCUGUGUCACCACGACUGGUUUUAUAUGAUGCUGAAGACUGAACCUUGGGUCGCCUUGUGUGUGCUAGCCCUCUAGAAAGAAAAGAAACAAUUUCUUUUGCCAAGCUGGAG